UGGGUACCAUAUCGACUAAAAUUGGGGAAGUACAGAGAUGUAGCAUGGUCCCUGAGCAAGGAUGAAAUUACAAAUUCUCAAAGUGUGUGUGUCCUG
rnacentral:snRNA from 1 species